rnacentral:rRNA from 1 species
GAUGAACGCUAGCUACAUGCUUAACACAUGCAAGUCGAGGGACCGGCGCACGGGUGAGUAACACGUAUCCAACCUGCCCUUUACUCGGGGAUAGCCUUACGAAAGAAAGAUUAAUACCCGUUGUAAAGGAUGGGGAUGCGUUCCAUUAGGUUGUUGGUGAGGUAACGGCUCACCAAGCCUUCGAUGGAUAGGGGUUCGGAGAGGAAGGUCCCCCGCAUUGGAACUGAGGCCCGGACCAAACUCCUACGGGAGGCAGCAGUAAGGAAGAUUGUUGAAUAGGCUUUAGCCUGAACAAGCCAAGUAGCGGGAAGGAUGAAGGCGUAUGGAUCGUAAGCUGCUUGUAUAUAAGAAUAGGUAUUAUAUGAAUAAGGAUCGGCUAACUCCGUGCCAGCAGCCGCGGUAAUAC